UACGUAGGGUGCGAGCGUUGUUCGGAGUUACUGGGCGUAAAGGGUGUGUAGGCGGUUGUUUAAGUUUGGUGUGAAAUCUCCCGGCUCAACUGGGAGGGUGCGCCGAAUACUGAAUGACUUCGAGUGCGGGAGAGGAGAGUGGAAUUCCUGGUGUAGCGGUGAAAUGCGUAGAUAUCAGGAGGAACACCGGUGGUGUAGACGGCUCUCUGGACCGUAACUGACGCUGAGACACGAAAGCGUGGGUAGCAAACAGG
rnacentral:rRNA from 1 species